rnacentral:rRNA from 1 species
AGAGUUUGAUCAUGGCUCAGGAUGAACGCUGGCGGCGUGCCUAAUACAUGUAAGUCGAACGGAAGAUGUAGCAAUAUGUCUUUAGUGGCGAACGGGUGAGUAACGCGUUGGUGACCUGCCCCGAAGAGAGGGAUAACAGACCGAAAGGUUUGCUAAUACCGCGUAAUUUCCUUCUAGUUAGAGAGGAGGGAAGAAAGGCCGAAAGGCGCUUUGGGAGGGGCCUGCGUCCCAUCAGCUAGUUGGCGAGGUAAAAGCUCACCAAGGCGAUGACGGGUAGGGGACCUGAGAGGGUGACCCCCCACAAUGGAACUGAAACACGGUCCAUACACCUACGGGUGGCAGCAGUAGGGAAUAUUGGUUAAUGGGCGAAAGCCCGACCCAGCAACGCCGCGUGCACGAAGAAGGCCUUCGGGUUGUAAAGUGCUUUUUAGUGGGAUGAGGAAGGACAGUACCACUAGAAUAAGUCUCGGCUAACUACGUGCCAGCAGCCGCGGUAACACGUAGGAGACGAGCGUUAUCCGGAUUUACUGGGUGUAAAGCGCGUGCAGGCGGUCGGGUAAGUUGGAUGUGAAAGCUCCUGGCUUAACUGGGAGAGGUCGUUCAAAACUGCCGGGCUAGAGUGCAACAGAGGGGAGUGGAAUUCCGAGUGUAGCGGUAAAAUGCAUAGAUAUUCGGAAGAACACCAGUGGCGAAGGCGGCUCUCUGGGUUGCAACUGACGCUCAGACGCGAAAGCUAGGGUAGCGAACGGGAUUAGAGACCCCGGUAGUCCUAGCCGUAAACGAUGUGGACUUGGCGUGGGUGGGUUGAAGUCCAUCUGUGCCGAAGCAAACGCGAUAAGUCCACCACCUGGGGACUACGGCCGCAAGGUUAAAACUCAAAGGAAUUG